GUUUGUUUGUUUGUUUGGAUUUUUACCAAUAAAGCAUUUGUGUGUGUGUUUGCUUCUCCCUUGUCCCCCGACUGCCACCAACACAGGGUUUUUCUCUGUAUCCCUAACUGUCUUGGAACUUGCUCUAUAGACCAGACUGAGAUUUCAAACUCAGAGAUCCACUUUCCUCUGCCUCUUGUGUACUGGAAUAAAAGGUGUGUGUCGUCACCACCUAUACUCUUAAUAUUUUUUAAAUUAUUAAAAAUCAAAAAGCUUCCAGGUAGGGGUGUGUAUGUGGGUGUGUGUGUGUGUAUUAUAGGGGGUGGAAGCAGGAGGAUCAGGAGUUCAAGGUCAUCCUUAGAUACAUAGUAAAUUUAAGAUCAGUUUGACUACAUAGUGAAUCACACAAGAAAUGGCAGUUAAUUGUAAAAAGAAGUAUUGUCUGGUCUUUGAUUUGUUUUUUAUGUAAACUGCCUCUGGAAAAAACAAAGGAAAAA
rnacentral:lncRNA from 1 species